AGAAACCCUAAAAGUUGCCGCAAGAUGUUGCAACGGCUUCUCCAAUCCAAUUGGGGGCAACGAAAAUCCAGUCAUUGCAACAUCCUUCUACUUCUCAGGCGGUUGUCUUCUACUCCUGAGGCCAUAUCAGCUAGUGAAGGAGACUUUGAAGAGUGGAGAAGAUGAGUGUUUAACACGUGCAUUGAUAGUGACAUUUUCCUGUUUCAAAAUGGUUCUCCUCGAUCGAUUUCAUAGCUCCUUUGGAAGCGAUUUCAUUGGCGAUUGUUCUUCGUUUUCGUUACACCUUCGUUCCUAGGCUGCAAAUCAAUCAAUCCUCCCGCACUUGGUUUUCAGCUCAAUCGUCUCUCUGUUAUGUAUUUGUGUGACCCGAAUCUGAAACCCUAGAUUGUUCUUUAUCAUCAUUUUCUCUCUCAUCGCGCAGCUCCUUUGGAGGCGAUUUCUGAAGCCGAUUGUUCUUCAUUUUCGUUACACCUUCGUUGCUAGGCUACAAAUCGAUCAAUCCUCCCGUACUUGGUUUUCAGCUCAAUCGUCUCUCUGUUAAAUGGAGUGUGACCCGAAUCUGAAACCCUAGAGUUCUUCACAACCACAGAUCGACGCUUCUUCUCUGCAAAUUUCUGUUGGUCAUACAUUCUGUGUAUCGAUUUCGUCAAGGGCGAUUCUUUCAGGCUUAGUAGAAUGCAGCUGUUUCGUGGUGGAGUUGAAGGACAUGGUAGUAAGUUAUGGGCAGUGGCACCAGUGGGAUUUAUAGGAAGCAUUCUCCAGUUGCUGCAACUCCAAGAAGCUGGUGAUCUCUAACUUAAGCAAAUGGAGGCUUAUGCAAGUAUAAAGAAGUGUGUGUACAUUUUAUGGAAUGAAUUUUAGUGAUUUCUAGAUGUAGGUGUGUACAUUUUAUGUAAAUAUAAUGAAGUGUGUAUGUACACAUAUAUUAAUUUUAAGGAAUGUCUAGCUCCCUAUAUGUGCAAGUAUAUAUAUGAAUGGUGCAACAACAAUUUAUUAAGUUUGUGAUGUACCAAAAAAACUUGUCAUUUCAUG